GAACAAGUCCAUUCAAAUGACAAAUCAGACCUUUUCCACAGUAGAAAAUCUGAAACCAAACACAAGUUACGAAUUCCAGGUGAAACCCAAAAACCCGCUUGGUGAAGGCCCGGUCAGCAACACAGUGGCAUUCAGUACUGAAUCAGCGGACCCAAGAGUGAGUGAGCCAGUUUCUGCAGGAAGAGAUGCCAUCUGGACUGAAAGACCCUUUAAUUCAGACUCUUACUCAGAGUGUAAGGGCAAACAAUAUGUCAAAAGGACAUGGUAUAAAAAAUUUGUAGGAGUGCAGCUGUGCAACUCUCUCAGAUACAAGAUUUACUUGAGCGACUCCCUCACAGGUAAGCAGAGCUACCAGCUCUGUUUUCAGCCCUUAACUUAUGGGAACAUUUUGCAGCAUUGUACAACUUGGCUGUACUUAAGAGUUUCAGGCACUAAUGGGUGCUGUAAACCAAGUUUUCCUCUGAGCAAAAUGUUACGGAAACGGUUACCAUUCCUAGAAAGCAAGGAUUUAAGACAUGCUAUUAGAAGGUAAAUAAUAAAAAUGCAAUUAUAAAACAGUGCCAUCAUGGCAAACUGGAAUGUACAUUCACUAACCAUGGUCAAACUCCAUUUUGUU
rnacentral:sRNA from 1 species